rnacentral:lncRNA from 1 species
ACUAAGUGAAGUUCAUUUACCAGGUUGAGGUAAAAAUCUUGCAUGUUUUAUUUUUUUCCUAAGCAAUGUUGUCCUUGAAACAAGAGGGCAAUCAAGUUUUCCAUUAUAUUUAAUUUAGAAAAGUGAAGAUGUUUAAACAACUUUCUUUUUUCCUAUUCUGGGAUAGCACAGAAAAUAAACUAUGUUCAAGCUUUUCUGUUUGUUUCAACAGAAUAAUAUAUACUGACGAUGCUGCAGUUCGGUGCCCAAGCACAGCAAGGAGUGCCUUUGCCUUCCCCAGCUUGAAGCAGCAACUCUGAGCCAUGCAAAACCAGGCCACUGCACAACACUGGGUCAUGCAGCCAGUGACUGUAAGAGUUGUCUUAGUGUGAAAAAUCAGGCCCAGGGAUUCAGUGCUAAGGUAUAUAAAUGGCAUUCUUUAUUUAUUUGGGCUGUUACGCAUGCCUUAGUCAGGCAGCUGUAAAUAAGGUUUUAUCUUGCUGCUUUCAGGCUGUCGUCCUGGAGGAGCAGCUCAGGACUGUGGGAAUUCCUGGGCUGUUUGUUCACUCAUGAUUUUGGAAAGGCAAAUUCUGUAACUUCAGGAGCUGUCUUCCUCAUGUUUAACCCAUGCCUUCAGAUCAUGGGAGGGAGAGUCUGCUUCCACUGAAAUCCACUCCUUGCUGGGUGAGGACAUGAUGUUCCUGUCAGGAGACAAAAUAGAGGAUGAUACCAGAUCUUUCAUUUCAAUGCCUGAGUUUGUUGCUGUUUAUUAAAGAGGACCACCUGACUGCAUGUUUUGUGCACCAGGUGCACAUCAUUCAGCAGUGCUGCCGUCUGUUUCACUCAAAGCACUAUUUCAGAAAGUUAAGUAUGCAGUAAAAGAAGCCUUCAUCUUAUCGGCUCAGAUUCAUGGAAAGGGAAGAAGUGAGGAGAGAUCACUUGGAACACUGGGGAACUCAUUUUUUCUCCCAGGAUGAACUGAAAAUCUUGCUUGGUACCACUCAAGAUGCAUGCAGAAAAAUCUGGGGUGUGAAACGCAUAACAAAUCCCCACCAUCCCUGCAAGAGAAAUGAUAAAAAGCCCUUCUCCUCGAAGGGAGCAGCGUAAAAUUGGCCAUAAAGUAUGUAGAUGGUUUGUGGUGGUGCAGACUGUGUACAAACACGAGGAGGUGCCUUCCUGCAACAUCAAUACCGAUGUUUUUCAGGCACCCCCCUCAUGAGGUGAUUUGCAAGCAGCUCCUUCAGCUCUUCGUUACUCUGCGGUGCUGCGGGAUCUAUCUUUGUCCUCUCGAGGAUGCUUUCUGCUGCCCCUCGCCGAGCACAGCAGAUAGCUUGAGAAGCCACAAAGCGUGCUCCUGGG